UACGGGGGGGGCAAGCGUUGUUCGGAAUUACUGGGCGUAAAGGGCGUGUAGGUGGCCAACUAAGUCAGACGUGAAAUCCCUCGGCUUAACCGGGGAACUGCUUCUGAUACUGGAUGGCUGGAGUGUGGGAGAGGGAUGCGGAAUUCUAGGUGUAGCGGUGAAAUGCGUAGAUAUCUGGAGGAACACCGGUGGCGAAGGCGGCAUCCUGGACCAUUACUGACACUGAAACGCGAAAGCCAGGGGAGCAAACGGG
rnacentral:rRNA from 1 species